GCCUAACACAUGCAAGUCGAACGGUAACAGGAAGCAGCUUGCUGCUUCGCUGACGAGUGGCGGACGGGUGAGUAAUGUCUGGGAAACUGCCUGAUGGAGGGGGAUAACUACUGGAAACGGUAGCUAAUACCGCAUAACGUCGCAAGACCAAAGAGGGGGACCUUCGGGCCUCUUGCCAUCGGAUGUGCCCAGAUGGGAUUAGCUAGUAGGUGGGGUAACGGCUCACCUAGGCGACGAUCCCUAGCUGGUCUGAGAGGAUGACCAGCCACACUGGAACUGAGACACGGUCCAGACUCCUACGGGAGGCAGCAGUGGGGAAUAUUGCACAAUGGGCGCAAGCCUGAUGCAGCCAUGCCGCGUGUAUGAAGAAGGCCUUCGGGUUGUAAAGUACUUUCAGCGGGGAGGAAGGCGAUAAGGUUAAUAACCUUGUCGAUUGACGUUACCCGCAGAAGAAGCACCGGCUAACUCCGUGCCAGCAGCCGCGGUAAUACGGAGGGUGCAAGCGUUAAUCGGAAUUACUGGGCGUAAAGCGCACGCAGGCGGUCUGUCAAGUCGGAUGUGAAAUCCCCGGGCUCAACCUGGGAACUGCAUUCGAAACUGGCAGGCUAGAGUCUUGUAGAGGGGGGUAGAAUUCCAGGUGUAGCGGUGAAAUGCGUAGAGAUGCUGGAGGAAUACCGGUGGCGAAGGCGGCCCCCUGGACAAAGACUGACG
rnacentral:rRNA from 1 species